AUGCUGUGCGGUUUUCUCGCUCUCUCUCCUCUGCGCGAAGGCUCCUAUCGUUUGGUCUCAUUACAGGAAAUCGCUGAGGAAAACGCAAAACCAGACGAAAACGCAGAAGAGAUAUUGGAUGCAACUUUCUAUAUGCAGCAUGGUGACAGUAUCUUUGAAGUUGGGUCUUGCUUCAAGCCUGUUCUAUUAGAGUUUUAUUUUAGCAUCUCUCGAGUAUUUUACUACACACACUGA